GGGGAUAUAGCUCAGUUGGUAGAGUGCUUGCCUAGCAUGCACAAGGCCCUGGGUUCAAUCCCCAGCACUACCA
rnacentral:tRNA from 1 species